rnacentral:rRNA from 1 species
GGCGAACGCUGGCGGCGUGCUUAACACAUGCAAGUCGAACGGAAAGGCCCUGCUUUUGUGUGGUGCUCGAGUGGCGAACGGGUGAGUAACACGUGAGUAACCUGCCCUUGACUUUGGGAUAACUUCAGGAAACUGGGGCUAAUACCGGAUAGGAGCUCCUGCUUCAUGGUGGGGGUUGGAAAGUUUCGGCGGUUGGGGAUGGACUCGCGGCUUAUCAGCUUGUUGGUGGGGUAGUGGCUUACCAAGGCUUUGACGGGUAGCCGGCCUGAGAGGGUGACCGGCCACAUUGGGACUGAGAUACGGCCCAGACUCCUACGGGAGGCAGCAGUGGGGAAUAUUGCACAAUGGGCGGAAGCCUGAUGCAGCAACGCCGCGUGCGGGAUGACGGCCUUCGGGUUGUAAACCGCUUUCGCCUGUGACGAAGCGUGAGUGACGGUAAUGGGUAAAGAAGCACCGGCUAACUACGUG